AUUGAACGCUGGCGGCAGGCCUAACACAUGCAAGUCGAACGAGUGGCGGACGGGUGAGUAGUGUCUGGGAAACUGCCCGAUGGAGGGGGAUCACUACUGGAAACGGUAGCUACUACCGCAUACCAUCGGAUGUGCCCAGAUGGGAUUAGCUAGUGGGUGGGGUAACGGCUCACCUAGGCGACGAUCCCUAGCUGGUCUGAGAGGAUGACCAGCGACACUGGAACGGAGACACGGUCCAUACUCCUACGGGAGGCAGCAGUGGGGAAUGUUGGACAAUGGGGGAAAGCCUGAUGCAGCCAUCCCGCGUGUGGGAUGAAGGCCUUCGGGUGGUAAAGCACUUUUGGCAGUGAGGCGGUACCUGCAGAAGAAGCACCGGCUAACUACGUGCCAGCAGCCGCGGUAAUAC
rnacentral:rRNA from 1 species